rnacentral:lncRNA from 1 species
UUCUGUGCAACUUCCCAUCUUCUUUAAGUGCAGAGGUGCAAGUCUUGGAGUUACGCAGCUGCAAUUGAGUUUUCAUCUGCUUGACGACCCUGAGGCUUCACAAAGAUGUGUGUAGGUAUGAAUCGUCUGAGCAGCUGAUUAGUGAAGUUUGGGAAUCGCAGCAAGUUAAUAUGAAGAGAUGGUAACUGUUGAUAUCCAGCCAUCAGAGGAUAGAAGUUGUAUAAUACUUCCUGCUGCGUGCCAGGAAGGAUUCUUAACCGGAUCUGCUUAAGGCCAGAGAACAUGAAUGCGUCGCUGGGUUCCAUUGACACCUCUACAUCCUGGACUAAAUUGGUCUUAUUUUGCAGGUGAUAUCUGACAGGGAGGGAUUCUCGAACUCGACCAAAUGAUGGCAGAUCUGCUUUAACAUGGAGGGGAAUGCUCUCUACAAUCACAUGUGGCAGAGUGAUGACUGUACUAACAACAGGUACACUUUCCACAGGUGAACUUCUCUUCCAGGAAAUGAUAUAACAUCCAGUUGCCACUCCACCACUAUUAGUAACUGGAGGACAUCGCAGGCAAAAGCACU